rnacentral:rRNA from 1 species
UACGGGGGGGGCAAGCGUUGUUCGGAAUUACUGGGCGUAAAGGGCUCGUAGGCGGCCAACUAAGUCAGACGUGAAAUCCCUCAGCUUAACUGGGGAACUGCGUCUGAUACUGGAUGGCUUGAGAUUGGGAGAGGGAUGCGGAAUUCCAGGUGUAGCGGUGAAAUGCGUAGAUAUCUGGAGGAACACCGGUGGCGAAGGCGGCGUCCUGGACCAACACUGACACUGAGGAGCGAAAGCCAGGGGAGCAAACGGG